AGCGUCACAAUAUCAUGAUCAGAUGCGUCACAAUACGGCUUUCGUAAUAGUAAGUCUUUCUGGUUUCAGUUUUCAACGUUAUAAGUUGGCAGAAUAAUGGAUUAUAGAUUAGCUUUCGUAUUUUGUUUUUUAAUACUUCAGUUUCAAAGUGUUGAAAACCAUGCUGACCCCGACGAGACCAAAGAGGCAGCCAAGAAAGGCCUUUUAUCGAAACUUUUAGGUCCUAUCCUCGGAGCUCUAGGUGGUUUAGUUACAACAUUACUUCACGAUAUUGGCAGUGGGGUUAAAGGUCUUCUUGGAAAAGUUGUUUAGAGAUCGAGCGUCUAUUUUUCAAGUGUAGGGUAGUUGAAGCCACAACUUAUAACGAUGACGAAAUUUUCUUUUAAAAAUUUGUAGCUCGUACAGACAGAAAGUAGUCUUAGAAAUGUCUGAAUACGUAAAUAAAACCAAUUUAAAAAGAAA